AGGCAGGAACCGGCUGCACAAACCGCACUCAUAUCAGGGCAGAAGAAGGAAAGAAAAAAAUACGGAAACCACCAAGGUGGCGGUUUCACAACGCUCACUGCACGCCCAGCAGCGGCGGCGAGCAGUAAAUUUUCAGACCCGGGCCCCGCGUACACCACGGAGCCUCCAGCCCCGAGGCGGGUGAGGAAGGGGGCCGGGCCCGGCUUCACCCCCCGUGCCCGGGGGGCCUGGCUGGGCCGGGCCGGGCCCGGUGCCGCCCCCACGGUGCCUGGGCGCGGCCCGGCGGAGCCCCGGGGCAGCCACGUUGACAGGGGGCGCGGCCUCGGCGGGGAGCGGGGAGCGGCCGGUGCGGGGGAGCGGGGUAGGGGCGCGCCCGUGCGGGCACUGCGGGAGCCGCCACCACCGCCAUGUCUUCGCCCCCCAAGGAGAAAGCCGAGACGCGGGCCGGACACCCUCCUGCUGUGAAAGCAGGCGGGAUGCGGAUUGUGCAGAAACACCCACACAAUUCUGAUGCCAAAGAAGAAAAAGAUAAGGAUGACCAAGACUGGGAAACCAGCAGGUGAGCAUUUUGUUUUUGUGCAUAUGCUACAGCUAAUUUCCAUCACCUUGAACAUUAUCAGCAGUUUGUUUUCCUUGCGGAUAGUAAACAAAUGGUACGGUUGGUUUUGUAUCAAAAUUGAUUUCAAGCAGUAGCAAGUUAUAUGUUCCUUCAAGAUAUUUGGGGAAUUUAGGUAUUUUUACCUUGUCAGACCUCCUUUAUAUGAUUCUGGCAGGUAAGAGAAGGAUAGAGGGGAAAAAAAUGCAGUUAAAGAAAGACAUCAACUUUCCUAAAAAUCUCUGAACAUCAUUUCAGACUGUGCAGAAACGGUCUGGGUACGUUUGGACACAAGCAUUAGACUGUCAGCCUACAUAUCCUGUAUGUGAAGUCUUCUUGCCAUGUGCUAGUUGAUUCCUUCUGCUGUUCAGUUCAUAAUCCCUUCUCUGAGAGGUAUUUGACAAUAUGGUAGUCAAAGACAAGUAAAAAUAAAGUUAUUAAUAUUAGCCA
rnacentral:lncRNA from 1 species